AUCAUAUGAUUCUCUACUAACGCUCCACAGUUUAGAGGAGUUAAAAAUAGGGAACAAGCUUGAAACCUCUCUCCCACCCUGGAUUAGUGGUCUUCGACUUGAAAGGCUCGAAUUACAAGGAUACACUUGGCUCGAGUCACUCCCGGAUUUGUCAAGCCUGACUAAUUUGAAGGUAUUAACACUUCGUAAUUGUGAAAAGUUGAAUGAUAUUGGAGGCAUCAAGGGAAUAAAGUCUUUGAAACACCUGUACAUGGGAAACUGCUACACCAUAACAAAUGCUAGAAGGAAGAUAUUUGGCCAGGGAACACUUCUAGUGGAUUAUGUUGGGUUACACACAAGUGAAUAUUCGUUGAAUGUUGAUGAUGGGGUAUGUAAGGGGUUUAUUCUGUGUAUUGUUUUUGCAUUCACCCAGCCCAAUCAGGAACAAGUGGAGGUAUGCCCAGAGGGUGAGCUACUGAACGACUUUGAGUUCCUUCUUGACGCUCGUAUCCAUCGAAAACAUGGUAGCUAUUUCGAUUGUACCAUUUGGCUGCCGAUGAAGGGUGUUAAAUUAACUACUGAGCGAGAUUCAAUAUACAUUCACCAUUUCAAAGGGUCUGACUUGUUUGGGAUUCCAUUGGAAGGAACAAAUGCAAUUGAUAUAUGGCAUGUUUCAAGUUCAGUGUCCAUCGAGUACCAGAAUCAUAGGUAUUGGCUCCGUUGUAAAGUGAAAUUCUUGAAGGUCUUAUUAUUGGAAAGCAGGGAAUGGGAGGAGCAGGAAAGUGAGGUGAGGAAGAUGGUAGCAGAUUUCUUCAAAUGGACAUCACAAUCAUCAGAUGGUGAUGAUGAUAAUGAAACUUCUUCAUUUGGUGAUGAUGAUGAUGAAUCUUUAUAUGAUGAUUGUGAAUCUUCAUUUCUUGAUGAUGAUGGAUCUCUAUUUGCCCUUGAUUAAAGAAGUGAGAGAGACCAAUAAAAUGAUACGCAGCACACAUGUCUUUGCCUGGAAACAAGGAGUGGAGUUUUAUCUACAGAAAAUACAGAUGGGAGUGAACCAACAGAGUGGAAUGGAGGUGUCUGACUUUCAGUUGGUGAGAAGUUCUAAUGAAGUAGAAUCAAGCAGUGCAUGUCUUGGCUGUGAAAUUGACGAUCUUGGGCUGGAAAAUGGUGACAUGGGAGUUCAAUUCAUCUAGAUUUUGUAAGGGCCUUCAAGGUUCAGAGAAGUCAAAUUCCAAUGGUAUGAAGUAGUAUUCCUGUGAAAAUUUUGAUAAAGUUAAAGAUGGGUUGUAAUAAAUGUCAAAAAUUAUUGUGACAUUUAAUUUCCUCAGGAGGUCAUGCUCUUCUUGUCAAGUUAAAAUUGAAUCAAUGCAGAAGAUGAUACAGUCAAGACUCAACAAUCUGUGGUGUAUGUUUUAGUUCUCUAUUGAACAGCACCUCAAUCUCAAUUUGAUGAACUGCCUGCUAAGCUCAAGAACAAGCUCAUCUUUGUUGCCAAUGCAAAGGGAUUAUGGACCGUCCAGAAUAUGUGGCCUCCCUCAUAUUCCUCUUCCGCAAUGUACUUGCUAUCUUCACUAGCUUCUACCUCUACAACGACACUAUUCAAAGAAGGAACAGGUUCAGGUUAAUUGGUCCAGGAACUGUCAUCAACGACAGUUUCUAACUUUUUAUCGCAUUGAUGUUAUAGGUGGCUGCAGCUGCUGCUGUCUGUGGAAUGAAAAGCGAAAACUUGAUGUGUUAAGUCCCGGGUUCUAAUUCAAAAAAUAUGGAAGCGACGGAGAAUUGUUUUUAGCACCAUAAGAAAGGCAUGUACUUGAUGUGAUUAAGAGGUUUUGUUUUGUUUUUUUUGUUUUUUUUUUUUUUAAUGUGGUUAAUGCACAAUUGGGUUGGCAAUCUGAGCUAAGUGGGUUUUAAGUUUUAUUUAUUGAAACAGUAUAUUUUUCACCCUCUUUUA